rnacentral:rRNA from 1 species
CGGGGUGCAGCAGGCGCGAAACCUCCGCAAUAGGCGGAAGCCUGACAGGGUUAUUUUGAGUGCUUUCCGAUAAGGGGAUCUUUUGGCACCUGUAAAAUCGGUGCAGAAUAAGGGGUGGGCAAGCCUGGUGUCAGCCGCCGCGGUAACACCAGCCCCCCGAGUGGUGGGGACGAUUAUUGGGCCUAAAGCAUCCGUAGCCGGCCAUGCAAGUCUUCCGGUAAAUCCGCCCUCUUAACGGUUGGGCUUCGGAGGAUACCAUGCGGCUAGGAGGCGGGAGAGGCAAGCGGUACUUAAUGGGUAGGGGUGAAAUCCUUUGAUCCCAGGAAGACCACCAGUGGCGAAGGCGGCUCACCAGAACGCGCUUGACGGUCAGGGAUGAAAGCUGGGGCAGCGAACCGGAUUAGAUACCCGGGUAGUCCCAGCUGUAAACGAUGCAGACUAGGUGUUGGGUUGGCCUCGAGCCAUCCCAGUGCCGCAGGGAAGCCGUUAAGUUUGCCGCCUGGGGAGUACGGUCGCAAGGCUGAAACUUAAAGGAAU